rnacentral:tRNA from 1 species
GCCGACGUAGCUCAACGGUAGAGCAGCUGACUUGUAAUCAGCAGGUUGCGGGUUCAAAUCCCAUCGUCGGCUCCA